rnacentral:rRNA from 1 species
UACGAAGGUCCCAAGCGUUAUCCGGAUUUAUUGGGUUUAAAGGGUGCGUAGGCGGGUUAUUAAGUCAGUGGUGAAAGCCUACAGCUUAACUGUAGAACUGCCAUUGAUACUGAUGAUCUUGAGUACGAUUGAGGUAGGCGGAAUGUGUCAUGUAGCGGUGAAAUGCUUAGAUAUGACAUAGAACACCAAUUGCGAAGGCAGCUGGCUACACAUUUAUUGACACUGAGGCUCGAAAGCGUGGGGAUCAAGCAGG